UGUGUUGCUGGCCGCGGUGGAGGGAGGGUGUGUGUCGCUCGCCUCCUCGCCGCGUUCCGUCUUUUUUUCCUUCGUUUUUUUCCGUCUCUGGGCGGCGCGACGCUUGAAAAGACUCGCCCGGGAAGGAAAAACGAAGAUAACCAAAUUUUUACCUCCGCCAGAACGAGAGCGAGUGUUGUCGGUGAAGAAAGAAUAAAUGAAUAAAGAAAAAUAUAUAGACGACUGAAUGUCUCCCCCUGGUGAAGAAAACAACAGCGACAACAACGACAACAACAGCCACGAAAACAACAGCCAAGGAAGGUGUGAGAGAAUGAGGAAAAGUUGAAAUAAAGAAAGGAAAGGAAAAUAAUAGAGAAGAAGAAAAGAGGAUGAAGUGAAGAGAAAAAAAAGCCGAGACAGAGGAAGAGAGAAAGACGAAGAGAAAGAGGAAAACUUAAAAUAAAGGAAGGAAUAAGGAGAUAACGGAAAAAAAGAGGAAUAGAGAAAGAAUGAAGAGAAAAUAUAUUAGUGAAGUAGAAGAGAAAUUCAUACCUUGGAAAAAAUGAGAAAAAAAACUAAAAGAUGAAAAUAUGAAGGAAAAAAAUAAUGAAAAUACGAAAAAAAUAACGAGAGAAAAAAAUAGUGAUAGAUUAUAAACAGGACAGGAAAUAAAUAAGAAAGAGAAAAUAAAAAAGAAAACUAAGAAAAAUGAAAACACAAAAAAAACAAUAUGAAAGGAAAUAAUAAAAACAAGAGAAAAACAAUAAUGAAAAAAAGAAAAGAAUAGUGACAAAUCAUAAAAAGGACAGGAAAUAAAUAAGAAAAAAUAAAAAAAA